GAUGAACGCUGGCGGCGUGCCUAACACAUGCAAGUCGAACGGAGUCCAGCCUUUAAGACCUUCGGGUCAAAGUGGGGAAGACUGAGUGGCGGACGGGUGAGUAACACGUGGGCAACCUGGCUCAUAGAGGGGGAUAACAGAGAGAAAUUUCUGCUAAUACCGCAUAAGCACACACUGCCGCAUGGCAGAGGGUGAAAAGAGAAUCGCUAUGAGAUGGACCCGCGUCUGAUUAGCCAGUUGGCAGGGUAAGAGCCUACCAAAGCGACGAUCAGUAGCCGAUCUGAGAGGAUGAACGGCCACAUUGGGACUGAGACACGGCCCAAACUCCUACGGGAGGCAGCAGUGGGGGAUAUUGCACAAUGGGGGGAACCCUGAUGCAGCGACGCCGCGUGAGUGAAGAAGUAUUUCGGUAUGUAAAGCUCUAUCAGCAGGGAAGAUAAUGACAGUACCUGAAUAAGAAGCCCCGGCUAACUACGUG
rnacentral:rRNA from 1 species